rnacentral:rRNA from 1 species
UUAAGCGACUAAGCGUACACGGUGGAUGCCCUGGCAGUCAGAGGCGAUGAAGGACGUGCUAAUCUGCGAUAAGCGUCGGUAAGGUGAUAUGAACCGUUAUAACCGGCGAUUUCCGAAUGGGGAAACCCAGUGUGUUUCGACACACUAUCAUUAACUGAAUCCAUAGGUUAAUGAGGCGAACCGGGGGAACUGAAACAUCUAAGUACCCCGAGGAAAAGAAAUCAACCGAGAUUCCCCCAGUAGCGGCGAGCGAACGGGGAGCAGCCCAGAGCCUGAAUCAGUGUGUGUGUUAGUGGAAGCGUCUGGAAAGGCGCGCGAUACAGGGUGACAGCCCCGUACACAAAAAUGCACAUGCUGUGAGCUCGAUGAGUAGGGCGGGACACGUGGUAUCCUGUCUGAAUAUGGGGGGACCAUCCUCCAAGGCUAAAUACUCCUGACUGACCGAUAGUGAACCAGUACCGUGAGGGAAAGGCGAAAAGAACCCCGGCGAGGGGAGUGAAAAAGAACCUGAAACCGUGUACGUACAAGCAGUGGGAGCACGCUUAGGCGUGUGACUGCGUACCUUUUGUAUAAUGGGUCAGCGACUUAUAUUCUGUAGCAAGGUUAACCGAAUAGGGGAGCCGAAGGGAAACCGAGUCUUAACUGGGCGUUAAGUUGCAGGGUAUAGACCCGAAACCCGGUGAUCUAGCCAUGGGCAGGUUGAAGGUUGGGUAACACUAACUGGAGGACCGAACCGACUAAUGUUGAAAAAUUAGCGGAUGACUUGUGGCUGGGGGUGAAAGGCCAAUCAAACCGGGAGAUAGCUGGUUCUCCCCGAAAGCUAUUUAGGUAGCGCCUCGUGAAUUCAUCUCCGGGGGUAGAGCACUGUUUCGGCAAGGGGGUCAUCCCGACUUACCAACCCGAUGCAAACUGCGAAUACCGGAGAAUGUUAUCACGGGAGACACACGGCGGGUGCUAACGUCCGUCGUGAAGAGGGAAACAACCCAGACCGCCAGCUAAGGUCCCAAAGUCAUGGUUAAGUGGGAAACGAUGUGGGAAGGCCCAGACAGCCAGGAUGUUGGCUUAGAAGCAGCCAUCAUUUAAAGAAAGCGUAAUAGCUCACUGGUCGAGUCGGCCUGCGCGGAAGAUGUAACGGGGCUAAACCAUGCACCGAAGCUGCGGCAGCGACACUAUGUGUUGUUGGGUAGGGGAGCGUUCUGUAAGCCUGUGAAGGUGUACUGUGAGGUAUGCUGGAGGUAUCAGAAGUGCGAAUGCUGACAUAAGUAACGAUAAAGCGGGUGAAAAGCCCGCUCGCCGGAAGACCAAGGGUUCCUGUCCAACGUUAAUCGGGGCAGGGUGAGUCGACCCCUAAGGCGAGGCCGAAAGGCGUAGUCGAUGGGAAACAGGUUAAUAUUCCUGUACUUGGUGUUACUGCGAAGGGGGGACGGAGAAGGCUAUGUUGGCCGGGCGACGGUUGUCCCGGUUUAAGCGUGUAGGCUGGUUUUCCAGGCAAAUCCGGAAAAUCAAGGCUGAGGCGUGAUGACGAGGCACUACGGUGCUGAAGCAACAAAUGCCCUGCUUCCAGGAAAAGCCUCUAAGCAUCAGGUAACAUCAAAUCGUACCCCAAACCGACACAGGUGGUCAGGUAGAGAAUACCAAGGCGCUUGAGAGAACUCGGGUGAAGGAACUAGGCAAAAUGGUGCCGUAACUUCGGGAGAAGGCACGCUGAUACGUAGGUGAAGUCCCUCGCGGAUGGAGCUGAAAUCAGUCGAAGAUACCAGCUGGCUGCAACUGUUUAUUAAAAACACAGCACUGUGCAAACACGAAAGUGGACGUAUACGGUGUGACGCCUGCCCGGUGCCGGAAGGUUAAUUGAUGGGGUUAGCGCAAGCGAAGCUCUUGAUCGAAGCCCCGGUAAACGGCGGCCGUAACUAUAACGGUCCUAAGGUAGCGAAAUUCCUUGUCGGGUAAGUUCCGACCUGCACGAAUGGCGUAAUGAUGGCCAGGCUGUCUCCACCCGAGACUCAGUGAAAUUGAACUCGCUGUGAAGAUGCAGUGUACCCGCGGCAAGACGGAAAGACCCCGUGAACCUUUACUAUAGCUUGACACUGAACAUUGAGCCUUGAUGUGUAGGAUAGGUGGGAGGCUUUGAAGUGUGGACGCCAGUCUGCAUGGAGCCGACCUUGAAAUACCACCCUUUAAUGUUUGAUGUUCUAACGUUGACCCGUAAUCCGGGUUGCGGACAGUGUCUGGUGGGUAGUUUGACUGGGGCGGUCUCCUCCUAAAGAGUAACGGAGGAGCACGAAGGUUGGCUAAUCCUGGUCGGACAUCAGGAGGUUAGUGCAAUGGCAUAAGCCAGCUUGACUGCGAGCGUGACGGCGCGAGCAGGUGCGAAAGCAGGUCAUAGUGAUCCGGUGGUUCUGAAUGGAAGGGCCAUCGCUCAACGGAUAAAAGGUACUCCGGGGAUAACAGGCUGAUACCGCCCAAGAGUUCAUAUCGACGGCGGUGUUUGGCACCUCGAUGUCGGCUCAUCACAUCCUGGGGCUGAAGUAGGUCCCAAGGGUAUGGCUGUUCGCCAUUUAAAGUGGUACGCGAGCUGGGUUUAGAACGUCGUGAGACAGUUCGGUCCCUAUCUGCCGUGGGCGCUGGAGAACUGAGGGGGGCUGCUCCUAGUACGAGAGGACCGGAGUGGACGCAUCACUGGUGUUCGGGUUGUCAUGCCAAUGGCACUGCCCGGUAGCUAAAUGCGGAAGAGAUAAGUGCUGAAAGCAUCUAAGCACGAAACUUGCCCCGAGAUGAGUUCUCCCUGACCCUUUAAGGGUCCUGAAGGAACGUUGAAGACGACGACGUUGAUAGGCCGGGUGUGUAAGCGCAGCGAUGCGUUGAGCUAACCGGUACUAAUGAACCGUGAGGCUUAACCUU